GCCUUCAGCCAUACCACCCUGAACGUACCUAAUCUCAUCUUGUCUCCGGAGCUGGGAAGCAGAGUCAGGCUUACUUAGUACUAGGAUGGGAGAAACGCCAGCUUGCCUGCUUCGAGGCCUCUGCUGUUGUGGCUC
rnacentral:rRNA from 1 species